AAUUGUUAACAGAAUAAGAUUAUAUCUACUUUUUUUCCUCUAAUAUUUAUGUAGACAUCAGCAGCUCUCCAGGAUUUUGAUGCAUUUCAGUCAACGACCAAAAGAUCUGAUUCCUAAGGACUCGUAUGUGAUGUACUUCUGGAUGCUGCUGUUACCGUCUCUCAGCGGAGCUGCUGUUCUCAUUAUAGCUGCGGCUCUUGGUGAAUAUGGGGCUAUCUUUUCUGCAGUGCUUUUCCCCUGCAUGGCAAAAGUUAUUCUUUCUCAAUAUCAUAGACUGAGCAGCUUUCAAAGGUUAUCAAACCCUGUUUACCUGGGAACACUGACUGCGGGCCUAAUUCAUUCCAUAGCUUGCUUUCUCUAUAAAAUUUUACCUAAUAUCCUUUGCAGAUAGCUUAUGUCAUCAACCUCUUUCAAAAGUUGAAAUCUUUUGGAUGUUUUGUCAAUUAUUCCUUGACCGCUCACGGUUUUGGCCAGCUUAUACCCUCUUAAAUUUUUCACUUGUCCAUUUUUGUGUGCUCGCUGGACUUUUUUGGAAAGUUUUAAACCAGAACCCAGGACGACUCAAAGAAGCUGACACUGAUUCCAAGUUUUCCAGCAUAGGAGACUUAAUAGAAGCUGGAAAGAGCCCAGACAGAUUCUGUAUUUACUGUGAGGUGAGCACUUAUUUGACCAGCACUGUAUCUGAAUCUCUUUUCUGAUUUUUAAAAUUGACUU
rnacentral:lncRNA from 1 species